ACGUUGGGCUGUGGAAAGUGAGCUCACUAGAUCAAAGGUCAAAGGGUGUGGGUUCAACUUCUGGUUCUGCCACUUUGUUGCUGUGUGGACACUGCCUGGCCUGUGGGAAUCAGGUAUGCAUUUCCAGGAGCUCGCCCAGGCAGCAAGCCGGGGCCCAGGGCCUUCCCCAGGCCUAUUCAAAUUAGUUUCCGUAUUGCUAUCCUUAAAUUGUUGCCUUAAGAAAGAGACAAGAGCGAGCGAGGAGAAAGCGGAACUCCACACCCUACAGAGCAUUUUAGGCAGGACCCUCUUCAAAACGCAACGGGCAGAAGUGGAAGUUGAACCACGUGUGGUUGCCAGCGCAGGGCAUCCGGCCACCUCCGCCUUGGAAGAUUAGCCCUGAGCUAACUGCUGCCAAUCCUCCUCCUUUUGCUGAAGAAGACUGGCCCUGAGCUAACAUCCAUGCCCGUCUUCCUCUACUUUAUACGUGGGAUGCCUACCACAGCGUGGCUUGCCAAGCUGUGCCAUGUCUGCACCCGGGAUCCGAACUGGCGAACCCCGGGCCGCCGAAGCCGAAUGUGCAAACUUAACCCCUGUGCCACGGGGCUGGCUCCCAAUAAUCACUUCUUGAGUGCUACAUAUUAAGUGCUGGCAGAGGGUACCAUCCAGAGAAGAUUAGUCCUGAGCUAACAUCUGCUGCCCAUCCUCUUCUUACUGAGGAAGACUGGCCCUGAGCUAACAUCCGUGCCCAUCUUCCUCUACUUUAUAUGUGGGACGCCUGCCACAGCAUGGCUGGAUAAGUGGUGCAUAGGUCCGAACCCGGGAUCACGAACCGGU
rnacentral:lncRNA from 1 species